AAGCCUGAUCCAGCCAUGCCGCGUGAGUGAAGAAGGCCUUCGGGUUGUAAAGCUCUUUCGGCCGGAAGAAAUCGUGGUCUCUAACAUAGGCCAGUGGAUGACGGUACCGGACUAAGAAGCCACCGGCUAACUACGUGCC
rnacentral:rRNA from 1 species